UUUAAUUCGAUGCAACGCGAAGAACCUUACCUACUCUUGACAUCCACGGAAUUGUGCAGAGAUGCGCCAGUGCCUUCGGGAACCGUGAGACAGGUGCUGCAUGGCUGUCGUCAGCUCGUGUUGUGAAAUGUUGGGUUAAGUCCCGCAACGAGCGCAACCCUUGUCCUUUGUUGCCAGCGCGUAGAGGCGGGAACUCAAAGGAGACUGCCGGUGAUAAACCGGAGGAAGGUGGGGACGACGUCAAGUCAUCAUGGCCCUUACGAGUAGGGCUACACACGUGCUACAAUGGCGUAUACAAAGGGAUGCGAACCUGCGAGGGAAAGCGGAACUCAGAAAGUACGUCGUAGUCCGGAUUGGAGUCUGCAACUCGACUCCAUGAAGUCGGAAUCGCUAGUAAUCGUAGAUCAGAAUGCUA
rnacentral:rRNA from 1 species